CCUAUCCCCAACCCCAAACCCUUUUCUAACCCUAACCCCUAACCCUAACCUUUUGUGAGUUAGAAAAGUCGGAAAAAAAGUUUAAAAAAUUUUAAGAAAAAACAAUGCUAAGUCAGACAAAACACAUCCCGACCCCGACUGCGUUUAACUUUCCGCACACAGCGCCCUUGCCGUAUGAGCUAACGGCAAGCUCGGUAAAAGUUAAUGCAAACAAAAGUUUUUAUAUUCAACUAUAGUCACUAGACUGCCGGCCAUUUAGUAUUUGAUAAACCGUGAACGGCUGCCGGUCAUAUAGUCACUUUGAUAUAUUAAAUAUUAAAAACGACUGAUAAAUAAUCAUUCAUUGCAAGCACAACUGCUCCAGAAUCAAAACAAAUAACAGAAUAUAAGGAAAAUUAAAACCAGC